rnacentral:rRNA from 1 species
UGGGGAAUCUUGCACAAUGGGGGAAACCCUGAUGCAGCGACGCCGCGUGAGCGAUGAAGCCCUUCGGGGUGUAAAGCUCUUUCGGCAGGGACGAUAAUGACGGUACCUGCAGAAGCAGCUGCGGCUAACUACGUGCCAGCAGCCGCGGUAAUACGUAGGCAGCGAGCGUUGUUCGGAGUUACUGGGCGUAAAGGGUGUGUAGGCGGUUCUCUAAGUUUGGUGUGAAAUCUCCCGGCUCAACUGGGAGGGUGCGCCGAAAACUGGAGGGCUAGAGUGCGGGAAGGGAGAGUAGAAUUCCUGGUGUAGCGGUGAAAUGCGUAGAUAUCAGGAGGAAUACCGGUGGUGUAGACGGCUCUCCGGACCGCGACUGACGCUGAGACACGAAAGCGUGGGUAGCAAACAGGAUUAGAUACCCUGGUAGUCCACGCCCUAAACGAUGCAUAUCUGGUGUAGGUCAUUCAGUUGAUCUGUGCCGGAGCUAAC